rnacentral:rRNA from 1 species
ACCUGGUUGAUCCUGCCAGUAGUCAUAUGCUUGUCUCAAAGAUUAAGCCAUGCAUGUCUAAGUAUAAGCCUUUACACGGUGAAACUGCGAAUGGCUCAUUAAAACAGUUAUCGUCUCCUUGACAGUUCAUACUACAUGGAUACCUAUGGUAAUUCUAGAGCUAAUACAUGCCUAAAGACCCGACUUCGGAAGGGUUGUGCUUAUUAGAUACUACACCAACUGUCUUCGGACAGUUUUGCUGACUCAUAGUACCCAGCGAAUCGUAUGCUUCGGCGACGAUGUGUCAUCCGAGUUUCUGACCUAUCAGCUUUCGACGGUAGGGUAUUGGCCUACCGUUGCUUUGACGGGUAACGGAGAAUUAGGGUUCGAUUCCGGAGAGGGAGCCUGCGAAACGGCUACCACAUCUAAGGAAGGCAGCAGGCGCGCAAAUUACCCAAUCCUGACUCAGGGAGGUAGUGACAAGAAAUAACAAUACUGGACCUUUCAGGUUUAGUAAUUGGAAUGAGAACAAUUUAAAACCCUUAUCGAGUAUCAAUUGGAGGGCAAGUCUGGUGCCAGCAGCCGCGGUAAUUCCAGCUCCAAUAGCGUAUAUUAAAGUUGUUGCGGUUAAAAAGCUCGUAGUUGGAUUUCUGCAUGGAAGGAGCGGUCCACCCAUUGGGCGAGUUACUGCUACCUUUGGUGCAUCUUUCUGAGGACGUGUUCUUCACUUAAUUGUGAGGGCGCAGGACUCAGAACAUUACUUUGAGGAAAUGAGAGUGUUUCAAGCAGGCAAAUGCCUUGAAUACGUUAGCAUGGAAUAA